GCGGGAGUGGCAGAGCGGUCAAAUGCGCUAGGUUGAGGGCCUAGUCCCUUAGUGGGUGCGAGGGUUCGAACCCCUUCUCCCGCA
rnacentral:tRNA from 2 species